rnacentral:lncRNA from 1 species
UUUAAACAGCAGGUGAUCAAAUUUAGUGCAUGUUAGUUUGUCAAAGCUGCAUUUUCAAGUUGUAACAGAUUGGUGCCUUAGACUAUGGGAUGGACAUGGACAGAAGAAAAAUCUGAUGGUGAAUAUAAGAAAAGCUGUGAAAAAAGAAAUGGAGAGGAGUGUGGGGAUGGUUAAUUCACAGAGAAGGGAAGCCGGCCUUGCCUGGAGUCAGCAGCCAGGAGUCCAGCAUUCACAUUCUCCCCAGAAGGAACAAAAGGCCACAUGUGCCCUGUUUUGCAGAUGUGCCUUCCCCACGCCUCCAUGGGGGCCUUUGGCCCAGUUCUCAUUGGCAGUGUCACUUCCUGAUACUCAUUUUCCAGAAGCCUCCCAGGUGAUUAGCCAUCAUAUGUCUCCAAGAAAGGAAGUGUUCGGCACAUAAUCUGCCAAUGAUUGCUGAUGACAACACAAGUGUCAGACACUGUGUUAGCAAUGACAAGGACAUGGUCUCUGCCUUCUAGUACGUGAGGAGUCUGGCCUUGAGCCUCACCCUGAGGCUGCAGUGUACUCAAAGUUGUAACAGACCAGGACAGAGGGCUGAGGGUACAGGAGAAAGGGUGCCCAGCCUUGAAGAGUCAGGAGAGACAUCAGUACAGUUAAUACAGGCUCCAUGGAGUGGGGAGGAACAGGAGGGACAGACAGCAGCAGGAAACUCAUCUGGAAAGGUGUGCAAGGGUCAGAGCACAGGCUAGUGGAGAGAGCCAGGAAAAGGCAUGUGGGCCUUGAAAGCAGACGGACCCAGCUCAUCUAAUGACUGGCUGUAAAACCUUAGGCAAAUUACAUCAUUUCUGAAGCUUCAGAGCUUCUUAUAUGUGGAUUGGGAGAAACUAGUUACUCACAAUUCUUCCUUCCCACCCCACCUUUCCCAAGGCCCACUGUAGGCAGAGAAUGCUCCCUAUGCUGUUGCUGAUGGGCUUGGCCCUAUGCCUCAUCUCAGCCAUUGGAAUAUGGGUGGGAGUAAGAUGGGGCAGCUCCAAGCCAAGGCCUUAAGAGCCACCACUUUCUUCCUUCUAGCCCCACUGUGCCUCUGUAUCUGCCAUGAGAAGGGCAUGCCUGGGAGCUGCUGGUCCAAGAACAAGGAGUCAGAGAACAGCCCUGAAAUCAACCCACAGCCUGAUGCAGAGUGGCCCCAACCCACAGACCUAGUUGCAUAAAAGGUUUGGUGGGAAGGAAACUCGAUUCAACAAAGUCAAACAUACCUGAGUGCCUACGAUGCACACGGCGCUGGCCUGGGCAGGACAGUACAGAGGGGUGAGCUAUAGCCGGGGCAGACAGCAACCAACAUCAGCAGGAACAGAGGCUGGCGCCUGUCCCAACACCCGGCGACCCUCAGGCCUUCAGCUGCCGGCUGCAGCGCAGGCACUGGGAAGCACUUCUCCAUUCACAACGCCCCUUCACAAAGAGGUCUCGGUGGAACCUUACAAUAGGACGCACACAAAGUCCACUUGACCGGAAAACCGAGGCCAGACCACACCGUCAGUGCCAAACACCGUCAGGCCAGACACCGUCAGUGCCAAAGCCAGGCCUAGAACCCACGUCUCUGCCUGUUGGUUCCGGGCUAUUUCUGCUAGUCAUUCACAACAGUUUCUAAAAUUAAUAAGAAAUGAUAAGUAUGCGAAAGUCCAUACAUGGAAACGUUCCCGUGAGAUGCAAAAAGAACAAGGCACAAACGAGCUGACACGGCCAGGUUCGUAGUGUCCGUGUUUGUUCCGCUCCCCACCGGCCCCUGGGCCCCUCCAGGGCAGGGGCAUGGCCGUAUUGACGCCUGUGACCCCGGGCACCUGGCGCGGUGCUGGCACCAACAUCCCGAAAUGCGCCAGCCUGGGCACCUCAGGGCCCGGCUCCAAGACCCGGCCCGUGCGACCCCUGGGGCGCCCCCCUAGUCUGGCC